CCAUGGCCCCGAAGUGGCAAUCUGUGUUCCUGCCUCAGCCCAAGAAACCCAGACCGGCUGCUGCCGCAAAGCUGAAGAACAAGUCGGCCUCUCCUGGCCUGCUGAAGAGAGAAAAAGAACAGCAAGAAGCAAUUGAAUGUAUUGGUGAAGUACAAAAUGAAAUAGACAGACUUAAUGAACAAGCCCGUGAGGGAAUUUUGAAAGUAGAACAAAAAUAUAACAAACUCUGCCAAGUAUUUUUUUUUUUCCAGAAGAGGUCAGAAUUGAUCGCCAAAAUCCCAAAUUUUUGGGUAACAACAUUUUCAACCAUCCACAAGUGUCUACACUGCUUGGGGAAGAGGGCGAGGAGGCUCUGCAUUAAUGACCAGAGUUGAAGUGACAGAAUUUGAAGACAUUAAAUCAGGUUACAGAAUAGAUUUUUUUAUUUUGAUGAAAAUCCUUACUUUGAAAAUAAAGUUCUUCCCAAAGAAUUUCAUCUGAAUGAGAGUGGUGACCCGUCUUCAAAGUCCACCGAAAUCAAAUGGAAGUCUGGAAAGGAUUUGACAAAAUGCUCAAGUCAAACGCAGAAUAAGGCCAGCAGGAAGAGGCGGCACGGAGAGCCAGAGAGCUUCUUUACCUGGUUUACUGACCAUUCUGUCGCAGGUGCUGACGAGUCAGGAGAGGUCAUCAAAGGUGACAUCUGGCCAAAUCCCUUGUAGUAGUAUUUGGUUCCUGACAUGGAUGAUGAAGAGGAGAGGCAGAAGAUGAUGAUGGUGACGACAAAGAGGAGGAGGGGUUAGAAGAUAUUGAUGAAGAAGGAGUUGAGGAUGAAGGUGAAGAUGUUGGUGAGGAGGAAGGGGAGGAAGGAGAGGAGGAGGAGAGAGAGGAGGAGGAAGGGGAGGAGGAU
rnacentral:lncRNA from 1 species